rnacentral:snRNA from 1 species
AUCGCUUCUCGGCCUUUUGGGUUAGAUCAAGUGUAGUAUCUGUUCUGAUCAGCAUAGUAUCUGAUAUGUCCUUUAUCUGAGGACAGCGUAUUAAAUUUAUUUUUGCAAGUAGGAGUUGGACUAGGAGCUUGCUCCAUCCACUCCACGCAUCAGCCUGGUAUUGUAGUACUUCCAGGAAUAGUGUAGCCCCU